GGGGGAGAAGAAAAAAAGGAAAAAAGAAGGGGGGUGAAGAGAGGGAAGAUGGAUGGAGUCGGGGUCGGGUGGCGGUGUUUCUAUUAUGUUUAAUGUAUGUAGAGUUUGGUGUCAGCGUUGCUUGUGUUGUUCACUUGUGUUCCUUUGGUGGUGAGAGAAGUUGGGGUUUUAUUCUGACUCUGCAAGGCUUCAGGAGGAAAGAGUUGCUUUGCAGGCCACUGAUACCUUCACCCCCUGAAAUCCUAAGCUCCUUCUCGUUUCUACCAGGCAUUGCUUAUGCACUUCGGAGCUUAGCCUUUGUUUCUAAUGUAACCCAGGCUACUGCCAUUCAUUGUAUAAGGAGCAAUCCAGCACACCUUCAUUUACUAGAGUAAGGUGUGGCAGUUAUUGUUCCCCCUUCUCUUCCAAGAGAUAGCUGCAGGAGCAUGCGCAGUAGGUUGCUUUUUAGGGUGGUUUGAAUGGCUGCUCUCAGAAGGAGAGAGAACAAAAGAGAACUCUGCUGGAGCAGGUCAAAGGCCUAUCUAGUCCAGCAUCCUGCUCUCCCUGUGGCCAACCAGAUGCCUAUGAGAAGCCCUCAAGGAGCAACUGAGCGCUACAGUGCUCUCCUCCCCAUUUGCAGUUCCCAGCAACAUUUGAGGGCUAUUCCUAACUGUGUAGUGCAUCAAUGACAGCUCCAUAAUAAAAUCCAGAGUCAGGCCACCGGGAUUUAAAUAUCUUGCUUUUCUAACACAUUGCUUUAAAAAAUCCCUCCACCUUUAAAACACAGACAUUUAAAACAAAUUACUAAUAAAAUCUCAUGAUUAAAUUUAUGGCACAUGACUGCAGUUCUGUGCAUGGCUGUGAGUAAGAGCCAUUGAACACAGUGGUGCGUAUUUCUGCUGUAUAGGUUCAAUUUUUAAAACACAUUUGGUUUUAGCAAAUGACAUCGAGACAGCAGAAACACAACUUUUACUUUUAAUUAGCAAUGCAAACAACUUUUUGUUAUUUAUUUUUGGAAUUUUACAACAAAAUCAAACAACCCCCUGUCUCCCCACCUCCCCUACGCAUCCUCCCCCUUCCUCACAUGCCCCCAAACCUCUGUAUUCCUCCCUAGCCCCAAUUGCCCUUAAUCCCCCCCAUCCCACAGCAUUUGUAUUUGUUUGUAUGAUCAGUGGCAAACCUGUACUUUCACUACUGAUUCCCCUGACACAUCUAAUCUAAGGAUGACCUGCUGCUUACGAUGUAACCAUGCAAGCAAUCCAGAAUUUACAGACAUUUAUAGACCACGUCCACACAGGAUUAAAGUAUAGUAUUUUGUCUCAAACUGCCCCUCUGAACAAGCUUAUAUUAGCUGAUGAAAACCCUCUCCCAUGCCCACACUUUUAAGCAGUUUGCCAUUGCUUCUUUUUAUCUAAGUUGCAUAUAAAAAUAGGAGAAGGUCUGUGGCAAUUUAAAGACUUAACUGUGUUUAUUUGUAAAGGGAGUAAGAUUUGCUAGGGCAUACUUCCUUAGAUGCAGAAUGGGUGGCAACAACAACAACAUAAUAUUAGUAUUAUUAAUAAUGUACAGUGGUACCUCAGGUUAAGUACUUAAUUCGUUCUGGAGGUCCGUUCUUAACCUGAAACUGUUCUUAACCUGAAGCACCACUUUAGCUAAUGAGGCCUCCUGUUGCUGCCGCACCACUGGAGCACGAUUUCUGUUCUCAUCCUGAAGCAAACUUCUUAACCCGAGGUAAUAUUUCUGGGUUAGCGGAGUCUGUAACCUGAAGCGUCUGUAACCCAAGGUACCUGUUAUGUACUGAAGUUCUCACCCUGGGCCCGCAGGGGGAUACUGUAGAUAGUUAUGCAAAUGAAGGAUCGAAAAGUGACGUUCAGUGAUGGGAUAGUUUUGUAUGCAAAUGAAGGAUCUAAAAGUGACGUUCAGUGAUUGGGUAGUUUUAGAAAAUGGCAACAGUUGCAUUGUUCUGGAGCUCUAUAUAAGCAGGCUGACUGAGCUCCUCAGCCUAGUUCUGUUCUGGCAUCUGAAUAAAGAAGAGCUGUUUAAAGAAUCGCUGUGUCGUCUGACAUGUUCGCCCACAACUUAACACUGGCGACGAAGGUGGGAUCGAUGGACAUCAGAGCACAGCCAGAUG